UACAGAGGUCUCAAGCGUUGUUCGGAUUCAUUGGGCGUAAAGGGUGCGUAGGCGGCGCGGUAAGUCGGGUGUGAAAUCUCGGGGCUUAACUCCGAAACUGCAUUCGAUACUACCGUGCUUGAGGACUGGAGAGGAGACUGGAAUUUACGGUGUAGCAGUGAAAUGCGUAGAUAUCGUAAGGAAGACCAGUGGCGAAGGCGAGUCUCUGGACAGUUACCGACGCUGAGGCACGAAGGCCAGGGGAGCAAACGGG
rnacentral:rRNA from 1 species